UCACUUAUUGGCAGACAAAUGCAAUAGACUUAGAAUCUAAACAUAGACAC
rnacentral:tRNA from 1 species